CAACCAUAGUGGGCUUGGAGUCAUGAGGGAAUUCGGAGUGGCCACCGCUUCGAAAGUUUGAUUUUCUUCUGGUGAACUGGACAUCCUUUUAUUUACGUUUUAAGUUUUUGGGCUUUUAAAUGUAAUAAGGCCGCUUAUUUAUUUUUGAUGAUUUUAAUAUGUAUUACUAAGAUAGGCGCGUUUUCAAAAACAACAGUUGAUUUCAAAAUAACACGACAACAAGCAAAGCUUCCGCAAUGAAA